UCAAGAUCUAAACUAAUAUUUAAAUAAUAAAAGCAACUGCUUAAAACUUAAAGAACAUGGCGGUGUCUUAUAAACUCAGGGGAACCUGUCCCUUAAUUUGAUAAUCCACAUAUUACCCAACCAACUUUUGCUAAACCUGUAUACUGCUGUCGCCAGCAAGCUUACAUAAAAGCUUGCACACUCACACACGUCAAGUCAAAGUGCAGUUAAUAUUUUGGAGAUAGAUGGGUUACAACCUAUAAAAAGACACUUAAAUAAUAUAAAUAUUCCAUAAAGGUGGACUUGACAGUAAUGAAAUAAGUCAUAAACAUUUAUCUAAGACAUGUACACAUCGCCCGUCACUCCCAUAAAAAUG
rnacentral:rRNA from 1 species